rnacentral:lncRNA from 1 species
CGCUGUUCUUCCAAAAAAAUCUAGGCCGCCUGGCUUAUCCCGUCGUUCCCUGCUCCGAUCUUUCCAGCGCCGCGCCUGGCUCGCCGGUGUUCCAGCUCCAGCCACCGCUCAACUCGAGUAUAAAAUCAAGCACGCGCGUCCUGAAUUCACUUGACGCAUCCCGGCCAGGCCCUUGCUCGACUGCUCGGCCGUCCAUCUCUCUCCUGCUCGGCCGCGCACUGGACCUUGCUCCAGCUCGCCGACCGGAGCUUCGCUCGUCCCCAUGGCGACUGCUCGGUCUGCGCGCUCGGCGUCCAUCUCCAGCCAGCGCUCUCUCCAACCAAGGUCUUCUUCCCGUGCGCGCUAUCCUGCGCACGCACCGUGACCUGCUCGGCCUAAUCGUCCCCUUUACCGCUCCCUCAGCUCGCCCGAGCUCCUCCCCUGCUCGCCGUGCUAACCGUCUAUGUUGUCGCUGGACUUGUCUCCUCGACCAUCUUGGCGUUGUUAUUUCCUGCUGCUCCAUGACAUCGUCGAGCCAUUCUCAGUUGCUCGCCGUCGAAGCUCCCCUGUUGCCUGCGUCCUGCUCGCCUUUGCGUCGCGCGCAUAGCGUCUGUUGUUCUUGCGCGCGCGAAGCUCUUUGCUCGUCAAUGCUCCAGCCUGGAUUUCGCUUUGUCGCCCAGCUCGGCUCUACAUCUCCCAUGACUGUCUGCUCUAGCUCGCUGUAGUCCCUGCGCGUGUCGAGUUUUCGUGUGGAGCUCUCUGCUCACGCGUAGCUCGCUCUUUCUUUGUUGCCGCGCGCACGAAUUUUAUCUGCUCGUCACACGGUGUCGAGUUCCCACACCAUCAUCGUCUCUGUCGCAAGCUUGCUAGCCACAAUUAUUUUGACCGCGUCAGCACGCGACUGAGGUCGUGUUUAUCGAAUUCGCCAACGAUUUGUUGCCGAUUCGACCGCCGUCGCUUCGCGUGUUGUCGAGCCCGUCGUUUUCCAUAUCUUGUACUCACGUGGUUUCCUGCUCGCCGGUACGCCCUCUCGGCUCACUCGGUUUUAAUUCCCAAUUGCGUCGUCAAUUCCGCCGGUUAGCGUCGUUCGUCAUCGCGUCGCGAAUACAGCUCUAUAUAUGUCACCCUCCUGAUCGUCGUCAUCCGUGUGUCAUCAAUAAAUCCCAAGAAUCAGGUGAAGACGAGGCUAGCAUCACGAUACUCCCCAAGUGUUCGAUAAAUUGCUUGGACCAGAAAAUCGCUACCGAUCUUGCGGCUUCGAGUCAGCUGCUGAAACGGUAAGCUGGUAAAUUAUUCAGAAUAGUUCGAUCGUUGAAUAAAUUAAUGUGCUAGUGCGAUACUCAUUAAGGUGCUCGAUAUAUUGCGUGAGUCACGAAACUCUCGUCGACUUCGCAGUUCUUGCGAUUAUCGAGCCAGAUUCAGCUAUGGCGAAUUAUUUCGCUAUUCUGGUCACUUAGCUGAAUUAGUGAACCGAGUAGAAUUUUAGUAGGCAUGUGUGAUGAUAAAAUAUUUUAAUCAUUUAUAAAGAUGUAGUAUAAUUUAUAAGGCAAGGGAUUAGUUUAGAAUUUAAUUAAUUAACUGAUAAAUUGUGAUUAGGCUAAUUGUAUUUCAUGUGUAUAGUUUGUUGUUCAUGAUGUUUGCGAUAAGUUCAAGAAGCGUAAUUAUUGCGCUUAAUUGUACGACGAUAAUUAGUAUCUCCGUAUGAAAUUGUUCAACGCCUCGCCUCUAGGAGUUAAUUCGCUAUCGCAUAGUACUAUUUAGGUUUGUAAUAUUCCUGUUUAUAUGCAUUCAUGUGCAUCGUGCAUCUCAAUUAGGUACGAUAAUUGAUCGCGUAAUGCGGAAGACGAGCCAAGUCGACCCCAAGCGCGGACUACUCUGCAUGGAGAUGCUGAUGAACGAACCUGCCUGAUCAAGUGCUAGGAUAAGGAUGAUCGUCAAGUGGUCGCCUAACAAACACUAACCUAGUGUUACUCAGGCAAGCCCCGGUGCAUGCAACCCCUUCCUUGUGUUUUUAAAUACUUUUCGCACACUUUAAGUCUAGUGAAAUGUGCAUUAGGUUUAUAUGAGUUGCUUGAAACCCUUUGAUGCAUUGCCUUCCUUGAUAUCCAUACCUGUUAUAGAUACUUCUUUGGAAGUAUCAAAAUUUGAUUUACAAAAAUGCUUAGCCCUGCUUAGAUCUUGUGGAUAGAGGUUGUCUUUUGCGUUAAGGCCUUGCUCAGGGGUUAUCCUGAGGAAAGAUGACUUCUACCUGCAAGAUUAUAUUUUCAUUGGGAGCAUGGUGGGAUCUUACUGCAAAGUUCCCUAUGAUGCUCUUUUCAUCCUAAGGAAAACAAACAAUCCUAAGGGUGGAAAUACUUAAAUCGGGACUUGGGUUAGGAACGGGUGAUGUUCUACCCAGGUUGAUUAAGGAUUGAACGUGUAUGUAGGUGUGCUGACCGCGUACCCUUUAACUGGUCACAUGCCUCGUCAUGGGUAAGCCUUGCCUCGGGCAGACUAAGGCCAGAAUAAGAUAACACGAAAUGGGCGUGGAGCGGUGGCGAGAGUAGCGUGUACCCUCCGUGGCAAGAGGCUGGACGGUGGUGUAUCUGUGCUCUCGGUUUGCGUGAACCUGAUCUGGUCUUAAGAACCCCGGUGGCGGGUUGACAUAUGCAAGGGUUAAGUGCUACAUAUGUCGUGUGAUUGGAGAUCCUCAGCUGAGUAUAAUCGAUUCGGAUCGCCGUACCUUCGCGGUUAUGAAGACGUGGUCACUUGUCUACAACCUAAGUCAGGAUGUGAACAUUAUGGAUAAAAAUAAUGUUGUAUUGAUGAGAUGAUGAAAUUAGACUAAAGGCAAACAGAGUCUAUUAAUACUUAAUCUGGCGUUAAAAUGUUGAAAGUAAGGACUCACUUUAGUAAGCUAUUUCUGCAAAAGUAUCUAAGUUGAUUUUUGCUAAAGCCUCUCCUUGAUUCCUAUUUAUCCAGCAUACCCUUGAGAGUCUUUUCCUUAGUCGGGUAAGACUUGCUGAGUAAUUCCAUACUCAGGGUUUUAUUCCCUGUUGUUUUUCAGGUUUUAACUUUGUGCUGUUGUUGAUGGUGUUAAGUGCCGGUGGGCUCGGCCUUCUUAUAAGUCUAAGUACUUCUUCUAUACUUCUUAUUGAGGAUGGUCACUUGAGCUAGCAUAUAUUUCAAACUUAUACUUUUGUAAUCACUCCGAUAAAAUAAUGUAAAUUUUUUUAUAACCUGUAAAAUUUGGUAAUAAGAUUUCCGCUGCAAAAAUGUUGUGUGUGUGAUUUGUGUUACUUAAUCCCGCGGUUCUGGUUAUAAGUGGUUUAUCCGAUGUCCUUGGGCAAUCGGACGGAUCCUGUUAAGUUAUCUGGUGCACAUGCAUAGGUGUCUGAGGUCUUUGAGACAAGGACAGGUGCAUGUGGGCCCAAUAACUUGGGAGGUUCUGCCACAGCUGGUAUCGGAGCAGGAUUAAGUAUAUACGGUCACAUACGUAUUUUAAAAACAAAGUUUUGGUUUUGAAAAACCUAUUUUCAACUAAACACAUUGUUUGGCUUUGAAAAACUAUAAUGCUAGCGACAUCCUCUGUUAAGCCCUAAAUUAAGGACUAUUAGGUGGCUUAUUUAAAAACCACUAACCCACAACCGGGGGUAUUGCAUACAUGUGUAUUGUUAUUUUUGAGGCCAUUCUGUUCUGAAUGGAUCGACGCUCAGGUAAGGUGAG